AUGAAUGUACCGAACUUAGAUUUUUGUUCUCAAUUGAGUCUUACGCGUACCAUUAUGUUUUUUAUUUUAUUUUAUUAUGUAAUUAUCUGUUUUUAUAAUUUAGUUUUGAACGAUUUUGAUUUAUAUAUUUUUUUUCUGAUGUUGUUAUUGAUCUUGUUAGGUUAUUGUGAUCGGUUCUGUUGA